rnacentral:rRNA from 1 species
UACGUAGGGGGCAAGCGUUGUCCGGGAAUCAUUGGGCGUAAAGAGCGUGUAGGCGGCUCGAUAAGUCUGUUCUGAAAGUCCAGGGCUCAACCCUGGGAUGCGGAUGGAUACUGUCGAGCUCGAGUCCGGAAGAGGCGAGUGGAAUUCCUGGUGUAGCGGUGAAAUGCGCAGAUAUCAGGAGGAACACCAAUGGCGAAGGCAGCUCGCUGGGACGUUACUGACGCUGAGACGCGAAAGCGUGGGGAGCAAACAGG